CCGAUCAUUUUUGAUCCCGAACCCUUCUCCCAACUCCUCAUCUCACGCGGCCUUCUCCAUCCAACUCCUCUCCGGCAAACUCCUCUCCGGCCUCCAGAUCCGGGGCGUCGGCGGACUCCUACAUCGGGAGCCUCAUAAGCUUGACCUCCAAGAACGAGAUCAGAUACGAGGGCAUCCUCUACAGCAUCAACACCGAGGAAUCCACCAUAGGCUUGCGCAACGUGAUUCCAGCAAUUUGGAGGAUGGACAAAGACGAUUCAGUUUUGCCUCGAUUGAUUUAUCUCUUCGGCGUGCUCGAUAUUCCCCACAAGCUAUUUAAAACUUUGACGCUUUGAUUUUUCUACUGGAAUCGAAGGGUGAAAGACUAUUUUGUUUCUACAAUUGUGCCCUAAAUCAACUUCCGCCAUUAAAUGUGUAAAAGUUGCAGCUUUUCUUAUUUUCUUCUAAAUCUCGACAUCUGAUCCUACUAAUGUUGCAACAAAUCAUGGUUCAUGCUACUUUGCCUUUUGUGAGUUUCUCAUCCUUUGCCAUUGAUUUGAAGCAACAACUUUGCCGAAUUCAAGUAUGGCUAUUCGGUUCAUCCUUUUUGGUGUAUUUAUUAGGAGACGAUCCAGAUGAAGUUAAAGCAAGACUCAAGUAUUGGGCACAAACAGUAGCAUGUACUCUACGGUUAUGCAGCUGAAGUUGUGCCUAUCCUUUAAAGUUCAUCUACAUCCGGAAGAAGCAAGAUCCAUGCAAUCCGCUGUAAGAGCUAUCCUCUAGUGUUUACAAUCAAUGCUGAAGAUGGCAACUAAAGUCCCUUCACAAUAAACAGAGACGAAUAAAAGUAAUGGUUCAUUAUAACCUUUGAGGAAGAAUAACUCUACAAGUUCAUGUACUAUACAUGCCGAAUAAAUGAUUCUUCUUCUUAUAAAUGCUUUCCAUGUACCUCAGUGGUGAUCCAUUGGUAAUUUGUGUUCAUGUUGAUGAAUCUGUAGACUAGUUUUGGUUCAUGGUCUUGUUUUAUCAUGGCUAUCAUAGUUCAGUUAGCAGGUGUCUGAACUCUGAAGCUUGGGAACUCCCAAUUCUAUACUGGUCGGGAUCUAGAAGGAAAGCCAUCGGGUUAAUUUCUUUUCCCAGAUCUUCCUCAGGAAAACUUGAUACUCCUCAGCGACUAAGGAAACAGUAUCAUUGCAGAUUCAAGCUUCUGGUUGGCAUGAUCUAAUUGAGACUGAAAGGAGAUUUGCAUAUGUACUCAAUGCUGAACCAAUCUAGGUUUGAUCCAACCACAGAAAGAACCUUGUUGAUACUCAAAUAAUCUUGAAAUGGUAGCUUCAAUGUUUAUACUAUUAUAUAAUAAAUCACUUAGAGUUGGCGGUGUAAGAGGUAAGGGAGACCGAGUAAAAUAUAGUUAGCGUAAAAGCAGUAUAAAAGAUUCGAAUAUUGUUAGUGAUUGCCUUGUGAAGAAUUUAUUGGAGCGACCCAAAUAGUUGGGACUAAUGAUGAUAUGUUGUGUUUCAGCCAUUAGAGUAGGGUCACUUGUUCUAUGAGGAUUCAAAUCUAAACUCAGAUGAAUAAUCAGCUUAUGAACAUCUUCAGAUUGCUUCCAUGGAAAUAAAAGGUAUUUUUUCGUUUAAGCUAUGAGACUAUAGAAUGAAAGGAACAUCUGUGAUCAGCAAUACUGAUGGUUACCUUCCGAAGAUGCAUGAACAAUAAAAUUGGCAGAUGGAGGAGAAUAACGACUUCUUGACAGUUUACAAGAUGAAAACAAGAUUAUUAUUUUGUGUCGAUACUGGAACAUUCUUCCUAACAUGUGUUUAAUUAUGACCUGCUGCUACUUGUGACCUGCUGCUAUUUGUGACCUGCAACUUUUAUAUUUUAGGGAAAAUCAGUUGCAUUGACAUUGGAAUUUAGCACAAAUAUUGUUGCACAUGGUAUAAUUGUUUGUGGCAAUGAAUCUGAUAAAAUGCUUCAUGGUGUUCCAUUUUCUAAUAAUUGCAUGCGAGUCUCCAUUGAUGAAGCAGUAGAAAAAUCAGCACAUUUGCCAUAUCCAAUUCCAAGUGAAUUUGAAGUAAUUGGUGAUGCUGUAGGAACCCAUGUGGCUUGGCCAAAACACUUAAUAGUGAACCAAGAUGAGAAGCCUCGAAGGAAGAAGCUUGAACAACCAAAAAAGAAACAUACUUUGUCAACAAGUGCCCCAAGAUCAUUAAAUAUGUUAUAUUGUUAUAGUAAGCGUGCUUUAGAUGAUGGCAGAUAUAUAUCAGUGAGUUUUGAUUAUGACGUGUUUGAUGAUGAUUAUGAACUUGUUCUACACCUUGAGGACAUCAUUCCUUUGUAUUAUUUGGAGCCCCUUUCAGGCU